CGGUCCCAGAACUACAACUGAGUUUUGGACUUCCGUACAGCUCUUGGACCUCAGGAGCCCCAUCAGGGGGGCCCAGGACCUCACGGCAACCUCAGCGCUGCACACCGGGAGCCCAGCGUGGUGUCUGGCACAGAGGAGGCUCCUAGGAAGAUGGCAGAGGGAAUGGGUGAAUGAAUAAAUGAUCAUUGAGUAGAGGAACGGGUUAUCCUAAGCUACUACCGUGUCCGGGAACGAACGCCUGGGGCUUGGAAAUCUUAGACCCGUUGCGAACCCCUGAACCCUGCUGUCCGGAAGCUCAGAAACUUAUCGAGGAACCGUUUUCAUCAUGUGAAACGCCCCGAGUGGGAAGUCUCGAGGCCUAGGUUAUAAUUCAGGUGGGUACAGAGCUUGUUUCUUGCUCCCUGAAGUUGGACUGUCUAGUAGUCCAUGCCUUGUUUUCUUCAUAAGGCUUCAUUGACAGCACAUACGUGAUCGCUUAUAAAUACGGACAUUAAUGUCUUCCAAGGAAAUGCUAGUAUCCAUCGUACACCAAACAUUUAACAUAGUUCAGGGCAAGGCUAUGUAUAGCACCAGUGGUUUGUGGUCUGCAAAGGGAAGAUGUGUAUGUGAGGUGGAAGUGCUGGAAGAUGUGUAGAUCAGCAGGUUUUGGUGAUAAUUUUUAAACUACAUCUCUUGAGCACUUUGAAGCGGUUUGUUUGAAGCGGUUGUGCUAAUUUACAUAAUUUCACAGUAGCAUGUCUAAUUUUUAAGCAAGGAAAGGAGUUACACAGAAUAAAUAACUUGUCCAAGGGUACAUUGCUAUUAACUUACCCAAGGCUGCAGAAAAAAAUAGAUACAAUGUGCUACUACAACCUGAGUGUAUUAUAAUCCAAGAAUGGCUUCAGAGAUUAGUACAUUUCAGUGUGGUCUUAAUGAAUAGUUUCAAUGACGUGAAAACCCCCACCUAACUUGUCUAUUGAGGGAUAAGAAGGUGGCAGUGGGAGACAAUUUACAAGGUAUGAGAAGGAAGCCAGUUCACUAUUAGGUUACCAGGAUGAGGCUAUUAAAAUCUUCUUUCUUUUUU
rnacentral:lncRNA from 1 species